AAUACUAGAGGCCCGGUGCAUGGAUUUGGGCACUGGUGGGGUCCCUCUGCGUGGCCUACAGGGAUUGGGUCGAAACCAGCAUCUGACAUCCCC